AACCUUGUGGUACAACUGUAACACAUCUGACUCCAGAUCAAAAGAUUGUGUGUUCAAAUCAUUUUGGGGUUA
rfam:Ovis aries breed Texel chromosome 16, whole genome shotgun sequence.